AUUGAACGCUGGCGGCAGGCCUAACACAUGCAAGUCGAACGAGUGGCCGACGGGUGAGUAAUGUCUGGGAAACUGCCUGAUGGAGGGGGUUAACUACUGGCAACGGUUGCUAAUACCGCAUACCAUCGGAUGUGCCCUGAUGGGCUUAGCUAGUCGGUGGGGUAAAGGCUCACCUAGGCGACGAUCCCUAGCGGGUCUGAGAGGAUGACCAGCCACACUGGAACUGAGACACGGUCCAGACUCCUACGGGAGGCAGCAGUGGGGAAUAUUGCACAAUGGGCGCAAGCCUGAUGCAGCCAUGCCGCGGGUAUGAAGAAGGCCUUCGGGUUGUAAAGUACUUUCAGCGGGGAGGCGUUACCCGCAGAAGAAGCACCGGCUAACUCCGUGCCAGCAGCCGCGGUAAUAC
rnacentral:rRNA from 1 species